ensembl:misc_RNA Metazoa_SRP Metazoan signal recognition particle RNA
GCCAGGCAUGGUGGUGCACACCUGUAGUCCAAGCUGCUCAGGAGGCUGAGGUAGGAGGAUGGCUCGAGCCCAGGAGUUCAAGGCUGCAGUGAGUCAUAAUUGUGCCACUGCAUUCCAGCCUAGGCAAUAGAGCAAGACCCUGUCUUUU